rnacentral:rRNA from 1 species
GACGAACGCUGGCGGCGUGCUUAACACAUGCAAGUCGAACGGUAAGGCCCUUCGGGGUACACGAGUGGCGAACGGGUGAGUAACACGUGGGUGAUCUGCCCUGCACUUCGGGAUAAGCCUGGGAAACUGGGUCUAACACCGGAUAGGACCACUGCCUGCAUGGGUGGUGGCGGAAAGCGUUUGCGGUGUGGGAUGGGCCCACGGCCUAUCAGCUUGUUGGUGGGGUGAUGGCCUACCAAGGCGACGACGGGUAGCCGGCCUGAGAGGGUGACCGGCCACACUGGGACUGAGAUACGGCCCAGACUCCUACGGGAGGCAGCAGUGGGGAAUAUUGCACAAUGGGCGCAAGCCUGAUGCAGCGACGCCGCGUGAGGGAUGACGGCCUUCGGGUUGUAAACCUCUUUCAGCACCGACGAAGCGCAAGUGACGGUAGGUGCAGAAGAAGGACCGGCCAACUACGUGCCAGCCGCCGCAGUAA